CGUCCGUUUCUGAUGUCGUGGAUGAACUGAGCGCCGUCGUGGUGGUGGACUGGGGCACUGCGCCAAGUGCGAGGAGCGCCUUGGAAGAAGCACACCAUGAUGGGUUCACCACGACACCAUUUCUCCAUGCUCCAGUAGAAGUUUGGACUCAUGGCGGAGCUGUGCGGCUAGAUGAUUGGAUCUGAUUGAUGCAGUUGAGUCCAGGUAUUGCAUCCCAUUGCUGAUUCUAUCACUAUCAACAAAACGAUCUGGAUCCGGUGCUUUUUGUGACACGUCAUGCUUGCAUGUACAACUUAUGUACAGCUUAUGCAUAUACAAUUUAGAUGUAUCUUUAUGUUUAGUUCUAAGAUGAACCACUUCUUCUUGGUAUGUAGUGAGAAUGAGCGAGGUAGCACAUGUUUUAUAUCAGUUCAUACAGCACAGUGCAAUGUAUUUUCUAGAUAUGCAUAAAUAAGGUGUCACCCAUAGUGUUAGCAUGGGCAAGCUACUAUCAACAUAUAAUAACUACAUGUUACAUCUUUUGUGUGAAA